UUAAACAAAAUGGAGUCACAUUUGCUCUUACUAUCACAAUACUUAAUGCCACUGAAUGGCACACCAUAAGUAGUUAAUUAAAUAUAAAAUUUAUGUUGAACAUGUUUUACCAUAAUAAAAGAAUAGAAGCCAGCUAUACGCUGACCAGGCACUAGUUCUUACACACAGAAAACAUAAAGAGGAGUGUGUGGAAGCGACAGGGAAGUGGAAAGAAUGGAAGCGGGCCCCAUGGACUUGAACGUGAUUCCAGAGCAGUAGCUUCUCUCAACUUUGUAGGAAGCUCCAAAGCCCACUUCUAAGGAGAACAUCAUUUAUUAUCCCUCGUUUAUUAUUUGCCAAAUAUAUUACCAAACCCACCUAAGCCGACUGUGUUCAUCUCCGGAGUCAUCGCCUGGAGUGAAAAGGACUUCCCCCUAGCGGCUGCACAGGGGGCUCACCAGAAACCUCAUGCCUCCAUAGACAAGCCCCCUUCCCCCAGGACCCACCACAUCCAUCAGCCUCACAAGUGAAGGAGCACCUACACCCCGGCAGUCCUGGCUUCGCUUCCCUGUGACAUCCCCCAUGGACACCCAGCACCUUCUCCAAGAGCUGCUCAAUCUGAGAAAUCUAAGACAAAGCCAAACACCCCUUCCUUUGUCUUAAAUUUCCAUAUUUAAAAUUAGAAACAUUCAAACCCCAAAUGUGUCCUAGGAGUCUUGGCGGGAUGUCAUUGAAAGAUUCUCACACCCUCCCCCAGAAGUGCCAAUAGCAGAAUAUGCUGAGACUCAAGUAAAAUGAAGUCCUUCACCCUUUAGCCUAAUUCUGUCCCCACAAUGUUCUGAAGUCCUGCCUGUGGUCCUGAGAACAAGAGGGCACCGUGUGGCAAGAUUCAAUAAGGUUAAGGAAAAGC